UCUCUUUUAUUUCAAAUUUCUUUCCCCUUUUUCUUCUCCAUCGGUUUACUCUGCCUCUCAUCUCCCCUUCUCUUCUUCGUCUUCCUCAAACCCUGCGAUUUCCUAUCUCUCAAAUUCCGUUUCGCUCUUCCUAUACCUCCAAAAUUUCGCUCUUCCUCUCUAACGUGAAGCAGCCAAGAAACUCUAUCUUGCGACAUACCCAUCUCGUCGAUCCACCACUUUCUUCUUCUUCUAGCCUUAACGGUGCCGAAAUCAAGGGCCGCAGACCCCCUCGGAAACCCAAGUCUUCCAAAGAAAAUUCUCCACCCUCAGAUCGGUUUUCGAUUCCAAAUCCUGAAGAGCCCGCUUCCACCUAGGCCUCCCUCUUCUAACCCGACCGUUCCUGAGAGUUCGCUAUCACAUACUGCUUUUUUACCUGUGUUGUUGAAUCCCGAUCCAAGAGACUGGCAGAUGGUUUAAGUAGCUGGUUCCGGAGGCAGAAGCUAACAGGUGCAGCUGGGGAGCGCUUGAAGGAAGCACGCAAUAUCAACCGAUCACUCUCACAACUCGGAUCGGAAUGAUGUUGCUCAUCUGAAAGUAGGCAGCAUCAUGUGGUUGAAGACUUGUAGAGUAUGGAGAGUGAAUGGUCAAAUUUGAGGAAUCAUAUCUGCUGGCUUUGUAGUCCAAA